rnacentral:rRNA from 1 species
GACGAACGCUGGCGGCGUGCUUAACACAUGCCAGUCGAACGGAAAGGCCCUGCUUGCGGGGUACUCGAGUGGCGAACGGGUGAGUAACACGUGGGUGAUCUGCCCUGCACUUCGGGAUAAGCCUGGGAAACUGGGUCUAAUACCGGAUAGGAGCCAUUUUUAGUGUGAUGGUUGGAAAGUUUUUUCGGUGUAGGAUGAGCUCGCGGCCUAUCAGCUUGUUGGUGGGGUAAUGGCCUACCAAGGCGGCGACGGGUAGCCGGCCUGAGAGGGUGGACGGCCACAUUGGGACUGAGAUACGGCCCAGACUCCGACGGGAGGCAGCAGUGGGGAAUAUUGCACAAUGGGCGCAAGCCUGAUGCAGCGACGCCGCGUGGGGGAUGACGGCCUUCGGGUUGUAAACUCCUUUCGCUAGGGACGAAGCUUUUUGUGACGGUACCUAGAUAAGAAGCACCGGCUAACUACGUG